CGCAACAUCAGUUGAGUGAAUGGAAAUUGCAUUGAUAGUUUCUCAUUUCCGAAUUUAGUUAGUUGAGAUAUGUGUGUUUCUAGUGAAACAUUCCGUAAGUGUGAAAUGGAUUUAUUACAUUUAUUUCGCAGUAUUCGAUUGGAGUCGCUGAGAAGAGAUAUUCAAUUCAGAAGAAUUUUCACCCAAUAUACUCCAAAAUAUUGGAGAAUAUAGGAAAAAUCCAACACCACCUUAUAGGAAAAUGGGCAUAUUUGUAGAAUAUUUGGAAGCUAAAUGAAGAGUAGUUGACUCACAAUGUGAAAAAAAUUAAACAAUUUAUUGUGGAAGUACUUAUGGUGACCAUAUUUUAAAAAAUGGAUUUCAUGGAGAAAGUAUGAAGCCCGAACAAUUUUGUAUGUGUAUCUGAGGAAAUAUCAAUUCAUCAGUUAUUAGUUUAGAUGGAAAAAGUAUUGAUUUGAUAUCAAUAUGAAGGCAUCUUUUUCGAAUAUGAGGAAAAUAUGUCAUAGGUUCUCGAUAGAAUAAUGGUUAGAAAUAAGAAGAUAGAAACAGACGAACGAACAAAAAAUGAGGAAAUCUGUUAUUUAUGUUAAAUUGUACUGAAUAAAUUAAGAUAUAAAGAAAA